rnacentral:rRNA from 1 species
AGUGAACGCUGGCGGUAGGCCUAACACAUGCAAGUCGAACGGCGGCACAGUAAGAGCUUGCUCUUACGGGUGGCGAGUGGCGGACGGGUGAGGAAUACAUCGGAAUCUACUUUUUCGUGGGGGAUAACGUAGGGAAACUUACGCUAAUACCGCAUACGACCUACGAGUGAAAGCAGGGGAUCUUCGGACCUUUCGCGAUUGAAUGAGCCGAUGUCGGAUUAGCUAGUUGGCGGGGUAAAGGCCCACCAAGGCGACGAUCCGUAGCUGGUCUGAGAGGAUGAUCAGCCACACUGGAACUGAGACACGGUCCAGACUCCUACGGGAGGCAGCAGUGGGGAAUAUUGGACAAUGGGCGCAAGCCUGAUCCAGCCAUACCGCGUGGGUGAAGAAGGCCUUCGGGUUGUAAAGCCCUUUUGUUGGGAAAGAAAAGAAGCAGGAUAAUACCCCGCUGUUCUGACGGUACCCAAAGAAUAAGCACCGGCUAACUUCGUG